GUGCCAGCAGCCGCGGUAAUACCGGCAGCUCAAGUGGUCGUCGCUUUUAUUGGGCCUAAAACGUCCGUAGCCUGUUUGGUAAAUCUGUGGGUAAAUCAACCAGCUUAACUGGUUGAAUUCUGCAGAGACUGCCAGACUAGGGACCGGGAGAGGUGUGGGGUACUCUAGGGGUAGGGGUAAAAUCCUGUCACCCUUAGAGGACCACCAGUUGCGAAGGCGCCACACUGGAACGGAUCCGACGGUCAGGGACGAAGCCUAGGGGCACGAACCGGAUUACAUACCCGGGUAGUCCUAGGUGUAACGCUGUGAACUUGGAUUCGGGGAUCCGUCAUGGGUCCCCGGUGCCGGAGUGAAGAUGUUAAGUUCACUGCCUGGGGAGUACGGUCGCAAGGCUGAAACUUAAAGGAAUUGGCGGGGGAGCGCUGCAACGGGAGGAGCGUGUGGUUUAAUUGGAUUCAACGCCGGAAAACUCACCAGGGCCGACUGUUAUAUGAAGACCAGUGUGAUGAACUUGGCGGAUUUUCAGAGAGGUGGUGCAUGGCCGUAGUCAGUUCGUACUGUAAAGCGUUCUGUUAAGUCAGAUAACGAACGAGACCCUCAUCUCUUUUUGCUACCUGUCUCUCCGGAGACAGCGCACUAUGGGGAGACCGCUGGUGUUAAACCAGAGGAAGGCGAGGGCAACGACAGGUCAGUAUGCCCCGAAUGUCAUGGGCUACACGCGCAAUACAAAGGACGGGACAAUGGGCUGCAACUCCGAGAGGAACGACGCUAUCCCGAAACCCGUUUGUAGUUGGGAUUGAGGACUGUAAUUCGCCCUCAUGAAGCUGGAUUAGGUAGUAAUCGUGUCUCAAUAGGGCGCGGUGAAUAGGCCCUUUCUCCUUGCACUCACCGC
rnacentral:rRNA from 1 species